AGCGAACGCUGGCGGCAGGCCGAACACAGGCAAGUCGAACGAACUCUUCGGAGUUAGUGGCGGACGGGUGAGUAACACGUGGGAACGUGCCUUUUGGUUCGGAAUAACUCAGGGAAACUUGUGCUAAUACCGAAUGUGCCCUUCGGGGGAAAGAUUUAUCGCCAUUAGAGCGGCCCGCGUCUGAUUAGCUAGUUGGUGAGGUAACGGCUCACCAAGGCGACGAUCAGUAGCUGGUCUGAGAGGAUGACCAGCCACACUGGGACUGAGACACGGCCCAGACUCCUACGGGAGGCAGCAGUGGGGAAUCUUGCGCAAUGGGCGAAAGCCUGACGCAGCCAUGCCGCGUGCCUUCUGCAGGUCUUAGGAUUGUAAAAUUCUUUCACCGGGGACGAUAAUGACGGUACCCGGAGAAGAAGCCCCGGCUCCCUUCGUG
rnacentral:rRNA from 1 species